rnacentral:rRNA from 1 species
AACGAACGCUGGCGGUAUGCUUAACACAUGCAAGUCGAACGAGAAAGCCCUUCGGGGUGAGUAGAGUGGCGCACGGGUGAGUAACGCGUAGGUGACCUACCAAUUGGCGAGGGAUAACCAGGAGAAAUUCUGGCUAAUACCUCAUAAGUAAAACGAUUUUGAAAGAAGUUUCAGAAAGGAUGGGACCCUCGGGCCAUCCACCGAUUGAUGGGCUUGCGUAGCAUUAGCUUGAUGGUGGGGUAACGGCCUACCAUGGCGACGAUGCUUAACUGGUCUGAGAGGAUGAUCAGUCACACUGGAACUGAGACACGGUCCAG